UAGAAAGUGGUGUAGUGGGAGCACUGAGAAUUUUGAUUUCUCGGGGAGGGGUUCAAAUCCUCUCUUUCUAA
rnacentral:tRNA from 1 species